rnacentral:rRNA from 1 species
AUUGAACGCUGGCGGCAGGCCUAACACAUGCAAGUCGAACGAGUGGCGGACGGGUGAGUAAUGUCUGGGAAACUGCCUGAUGGAGGGGGAUAACUACUGGAAACGGUAGAUAAUACCGCAUACCAUCGGAUGUGCCCAGAUGGGAUUAGCUAGUAGGUGGGGUAACGGCUCACCUAGGCGCCGAUCCCUAGCUGGUCGGAGAGGAUGACAAGCCACACUGGAACUGAGACACGGUCCAGACUCCGACGGGAGGCAGCAGUGGGGAAUAUUGCACAAUGGGCGCAAGCCUGAUGCAGCCAUGCCGCGUGUAUGAAGAAGGCCUUCGGGUUGUAAAGUACUUUCAGCGGGGAGGCGUUACCCGCAGAAGAAGCACCGGCUAACUCCGUGCCAGCCGCCGCGGUAAUUC